UACGUAGGGACCAAGCGUUGUUCGGAUUUACUGGGCGUAAAGGGCGCGUAGGCGGUCAGCACAAGUCAGUUGUGAAAUCUCCGGGCUUAACUCGGAAAGGUCAACUGAUACUGCGCGGCUAGAGUGCAGAAGGGGCAACUGGAAUUCUCGGUGUAGCGGUGAAAUGCGUAGAUAUCGAGAGGAACACCUGCGGCGAAGGCGGGUUGCUGGGCUGACACUGACGCUGAGGCGCGAAAGCUAGGGGAGCGAACGGG
rnacentral:rRNA from 1 species